UACGGAGGGGGCUAGCGUUGUUCGGAAUUACUGGGCGUAAAGCGCACGUAGGCGGCUUUGUAAGUUAGAGGUGAAAGCCCGGGGCUCAACUCCGGAAUUGCCUUUAAGACUGCAUCGCUAGAAUUGUGGAGAGGUAAGUGGAAUUCCGAGUGUAGAGGUGAAAUUCGUAGAUAUUCGGAAGAACACCAGUGGCGAAGGCGGUCUGCUGGGCAGUAGCUGGACACUGAGGCGCGACAGCGUGGGGAGCAA
rnacentral:rRNA from 1 species